GACGAACGCUGGCGGCGUGCCUAAUACAUGCAAGUUGGGCGCUGAAGGUUGGUACUUGUACCAACUGGAUGAGCAGCGAACGGGUGAGUAACGCGUGGGGAAUCUGCCUUUGAGCGGGGGACAACAUUUGGAAACGAAUGCUAAUACCGCAUAAAAACUUUAAACACAAGUUUUAAGUUUGAAAGAUGCAAUUGCAUCACUCAAAGAUGAUCCCGCGUUGUAUUAGCUAGUUGGUGAGGUAAAGGCUCACCAAGGCGAUGAUACAUAGCCGACCUGAGAGGGUGAUCGGCCACAUUGGGACUGAGACACGGCCCAAACUCCUACGGGAGGCAGCAGUAGGGAAUCUUCGGCAAUAGACGAAAGUCUGACCGAGCAACGCCGCGUGAGUGAAGAAGGUUUUCGGAUCGUAAAACUCUGUUGGUAGAGAAGAACGUUGGUGAGAGUGGAAAGCUCAUCAAGUGACGGUAACUACCCAGAAAGGGACGGCUAACUACGUG
rnacentral:rRNA from 1 species